UACGUAGGGGGCGAGCGUUAUCCGGAUUCACUGGGUGUAAAGGGAGCGUAGACGGCCAUGCAAGCCAGGGGUGAAAGCCCGGGGCCCAACCCCGGGACUGCCCUUGGAACUGCAUGGCUGGAGUGCGGGAGGGGCAGGCGGAAUUCCUGGUGUAGCGGUGAAAUGCGUAGAUAUCAGGAGGAACACCGGCGGCGAAGGCGGCCUGCUGGACUGCGACUGACGUUGAGGCUCGAAAGCGUGGGGAGCGAACAGG
rnacentral:rRNA from 1 species